GUGGACAGCCUCAUCGCCCCUGCCUGGUGGCGUCAAAAUUUACUGUUUUGUUCCCACUCUUCAAACUGCCACCAAAGCUUUGGUGGCAGUUUGAAGAGUGGGAACAAAACAGUAAAUUUUGACGCCACCAGGCAGGGGAGCUGAGGCUGUCCAC
rnacentral:pre_miRNA from 1 species